AGUGAACGCUGGCGGCGUGCCUAAUACAUGCAAGUCGAACGGAGGGGCGCACGGGUGUGUAAUGUAUAGCUAAUCUGCCCUAUACUAGAGGACAACAGUUGGAAACGGCUGCUAAUACUCUAUAGUGUAGGAUGAGGCUAUAUUGUAUCAGCUAGGUGGUGAGGUAAUGGCUCACCAAGGCUAUGACGCAUAACUGGUCUGAGAGGAUGAUCAGUCACACCGGAACUGAGGCACGGUCGAGGCUCCUACGGGAAGGGGCAGUAGGGAAUAUUGCUCAAUGUGGGAAACCGUGGAGCAGCAUCGCCGCGUGGAGGAUGACAAUUUUGGAAGAGUAAACUCCUUUUGUUAGGGAAGCGGUACCUAACGAAUAAGCACCGGCUAACUCCGUGCCAGCAGCCGCGGUAAUAC
rnacentral:rRNA from 1 species